rnacentral:rRNA from 1 species
UACGUAGGGUGCGAGCGUUAAUCGGAAUUACUGGGCGUAAAGCGUGCGCAGGCGGUUCGUUGUGUCGGCGGUGAAAGCCCCGGGCUUAACCUGGGAAUGGCCGUUGAAACUGGCGAACUGGAGUGUGGCAGAGGGGGGUGGAAUUCCGCGUGUAGCAGUGAAAUGCGUAGAGAUCCGGAAGAACACCGGUGGCGAAGGCG